rnacentral:rRNA from 1 species
UACAGAGGUGGCAAGCGUUGUUCGGAAUUACUGGGCGUAAAGGGCGCGUAGGCGGUCGUGUGCGUCAGAGGUGAAAUCCCCGGGCUUAACCCGGGAGCUGCCUCUGAUACGGCAUGGCUUGAGUCCGGGAGAGGAGAGCAGAAUUCCCAGUGUAGCGGUGAAAUGCGUAGAUAUUGGGAGGAAUACCGGUGGCGAAGGCGGCUCUCUGGACCGGGUACUGACGCUGAGGCGCGAAAAGCGUGGGUAGCAAACGAGGA